rnacentral:lncRNA from 1 species
AAGUGGAACUGAAAAUACUUGCCUCAUUACGAACUUAAGUAUGGAAAACCUCUUUGGGAUAAAACUAUCAUUUAUGGAAAAAGAGUGCAAGUACCCACAGCCUAAGGAUUGGUCAGUGGGGUUUAAAGGGACUAGAUCAUUUUGGUAGGGUCCUUAGACCCUGUAUUAUGGCCGCGUUGGGUGGUAUGCCUUCCUUGCAUCACCUUAUGAACUUGAAGACCUCUUUGUAGCUGGUUUGCUGUCUCUCCAUUUCUUCUGACUUCAUGUCAUCUUCAAAGAAUUUAAUCCACCUCCAGCCUUUGUAAAUGAGACACAAGUACAUUAUUCAAAAAAAAAACAAUGCACAUGUAUCAAUUCUCAAAAGAUAGACCCAUCCAAGUAUAAUAGAGAAUGAAGAUUAUAUUCUUCCCUGUCAUCAUUUUGGUAGAAUGUUGGUGAGGAGUACACUCCAUUUUGGAUUAUGCACUUAACUCCAUAACUCCAUCUCUGACCUUGCAAUCCACGAGAACAUCCAACAUGAUGGAUGGUUGGUCAACAUGUGGUAUGC